GACGAACGCUGGCGGCGUGCUUAACACAUGCAAGUCGAACGGACAGACAGAGAGCUUGCUCUCUUGAAGUUAGUGGCGAACGGGUGAGUAACGCGUAAUCAACCUGCCCUUCAGAGGGGGAUAACAACGGGAAACCGUUGCUAAUACCGCGUACGAUUCAUGAACGGCAUCGUUUAUGAAUGAAAGGUGGCCUCUAUGUAUAAGCUAUCGCUGAAGGAGGGGAUUGCGUCUGAUUAGCUAGUUGGAGGGGUAACGGCCCGCAAAGGCAAUGAUCGGUAGCAGGUCUGAAAGGAUGAACGGCCACAUUGGGACUGAGACACGGCCCAAACUCCUACGGGAGGCAGCAGUGGGGAAUCUUCCGCAAUGGACGAAAGUCUGACGGAGCAACGCCGCGUGAGUGAUGAAGGUCUUCGGAUUGUAAAGCUCUGUUAAUCGGGACGAAAGAGUUCUGCGUGAAUAAUGCAGAAAAGUGACGGUACCGGAAUAGAAAGCCACGGCUAACUACGUGCCAGCCGCCGCCGUAA
rnacentral:rRNA from 1 species